UUGGUGAUUUGAAUUGACCUUUCUCGGCUACCGUACACUUCCGCUUCAGUGAGCAGGUAGCUUUAGGUUGUUACCUUUUGGGCUUUCGAGUGAGUCAUGUCAACUUUUUCCAAGCUCUCGAUUUGCUGUAUGUAUGUAAAUGCAUACAUGUAAACAAUGACAUGAAAGGAGAAUAUUUGUUAGUCGUUAGGUCUGUGGAAACUCGCUAGUUCUCGUGAAACAAGAGGUGGAGCGUUAGCUAGCACGCCCACAAGCAGCACUCACUCGGCUGUCAAUCAAUGGAUUAUCAAGGAAAGCGUUUGAUUUGAACGUUGGUUUUCUAUGUUUUGCCACGUCCAACCUUGAAGACUGGAGGCUCCACGUCGGCUGCCGGUCGUCUAUCUGCAUAUCUCGAAAGAGUAAACAUUCAAUCACAAUAAAGUAACAAGUUGAAUGGCAGUCUGCUCGUUGCAGAGUGGUGAAGCGGUCAGCCAGAGGGACGAGUGGUGAAGCGGUCGGCCAGAGGGACGAGUGGUAAAUCGGUCGGCCAGAGGGACGAGUGGUGAAGCGGUCGGCCAGAGGGAUGAGUGAUAGGUCAGUGGGACGAGUGUUACUCCAUGCCUGGACCAGAGACAAAAAGAGAUUCAUGACCAGGAGGCUGAUUUUGUUCCUUGCUGCCUGUCAGAAAAUAGGAGAAAAAAAUUAUUGGAAUUAAAGAUAAGAUUGUGCAAUGAGGAGCAUUCAAAGUGCCUCACUUCUCAGGUUGCUUUAGAGCUGAGUAAGUAACAAGAACAUUAAAGAGCUGCUGGUAUGCGGCUCUGCUUCCGCUAUGAGCAGCAGAGGGCUCUUCAGGCAGGUCAACGAGCUCACAGAGGCUGAAGACAAUCUGUGGCAGGCUUUUCACUUUCUGGACCUGGAUUUGCCACCUGUGCCUGGAAAGAAAAAGGAACAUUGACAACUCAUUUUAAGUUUACUGCUUUUAUUUUUAACUGUAGCGUGGAAGCAGUCAGUUGCUGGUGCACAGGCAGAGUUCCUUCAAUGUUGUAAAAACUCUCCAGGAUGGACACCUGCACACAGAGACCAAUCAAGCUGCCAUUUAGUACAUUUUAUUGUAGAGUCAACUCUGAAAACCGAGACAACCUUGAGGUACCUCUGCAUGGUUUUCGAGGGCUUUUACCUUUGGCCAGCAGAUAGUAGACGCUCCAACUGCAUCCUUGCAGGAAGAGGGAGGCAUAAAAAAUAAAGCAGGUAAGUGCUUUUAAACAAUGCCAAGUUUACAGUAACCUGGACAAGAGGUUGAUGAUGCCACAGGAUUAAAACCAUGUAGAUCUUCACCAUGCUACGGAAACUAGGACCUUUGGCCCCACCUGGUGGAGAAAAAGACAAACAGGCUGAAAUGUUUGACAUGUGUCAAACAUUUGGACGCGUGCAUGUUUCACCAGUGACGAAUGGAGGGCACCACCGGACGGCUCUCCAACCACAGCUCGCUGGUCUGAAAGACACGGUAAUGUUACUACCAUUCUGCUUUUACAUUUUCAGCCUAACAAGAAAAUUGAGCAAGAGUAGACCUGCAAGUGUCCCAUGAAGCCAUGAGAGGACUGCAAGGUGGCCAUUUUGGAUCCUGCAGACAAAAGAAAAAGAACAAAUGUUUGCUUUCGUCAAUUUGACAAGAUGCCUUGCUAAUACAAAUAUUUUUGCCAUUUUGCAGUCAGCCUGUUCCCUCGGUUCCAGAUGCAGGCCUGUGGACAGAAAUGAAGACAAUUAGAAGCAGUCGAUUGAAAGCGUUGACUUUAAAACUCACGAAGUCAGUCGGCCAUGACGGGCUCGUUUUGAGGGUUUGCACCUGCAGACAGAAAGUAGCAGAUUAACACGAAUGCAUCAAAAUACCUGUUUCAGUAAUUCUCUGGUGGAUUCAUGCAAACGCUGCUAUGUCUACUUACCUUCGGCCAAACGGCGCUGUCGUCCAGACGUUGCUAAAUGUUUGUGCAAAAAUAGUGUUAGUCAUCUUUUCACACGGUGCGUGCCUCAGUUUUCAAAAUGCGCAUGUACUUACCCACAGUUAACUGCUUACUUUGUUUGGUUGCACGCCAGAUAAAUGCGUUUUGGUGGUCGUUGGAGAUGUUAACUGCUAACGCUAGCUUCUGCAAACGUUUGAGCUUGCAAGAUGGAAGCACGCCCAAAGUGCAACUAGACGCUGAAAGAGAGCAAAAGCAGUUAGUUUCAAAAGGUCUAACAAAAGUUGAACACCCACCUUGUCACUUUUACACGCUGUUGUACGGCCGGCGCAGCAGGUGGACCAGAGCAACGUGGCUCUCGCUGUCAGUGGUGAGUGCCAGAAUGAGCGUCGCGUUCAUGACGCCUUUUAUAGUCUUUUUGUGAUGACGUCAUUAGAAGAAGAAGGGGAAAAAAAAGAAAAACCCUUUCAAACAGGUGCUAGUGCAAGAGAAAAACUUCAAACACUAAUCUUUGCAGGGUCCCGGGCUCGAACCAGCACUGCAUAUUUCGGAGGCAAUGGUAUUAUCCCCUCGACCAUUGUCCGCUGUAAGAUUUCACAAGAAUUCUUUUGUAUUGUCCUAAACUAUGAGGAUAUAUGCAAUAAAGGUUCAGAAUAACCUUCAAUUACAACCACUUGACCGUCGAAUGUAAGAUCUCGAAUGGCCGAGUGGUCAUAGCUUUUCUUGGAGUUUGGGAGAGGCGGGUUCGAUUCUUAUAUGUUGCUCUAUUUAAUUUGCAAAAGCUGCAAAGACCAAGUCUCGAACCCGAGGCUGCUGGACACCAGCCCAAGUCGUAAACCAUUCAGCCAUUUUGGCGUAGAAUUUUUCUGAGUUUUUUUUAUAUAUUUAUAGUAUAUGUCUCACGGAAUAGAUAAAAUUACCAAAUUAUCCAAUUCUUUCAGAAUACCAACUGGUGUAAUGGUUAACGCUUUUGCCUUCUGUUCGGGAGAACCGAGUUCGAGUCUCACACUGCGUAAACUUUAGCUCAAAGUCCGCUUCGUGUGGGGCUCGAACCAUAGUCUCCCGAACACCGGGUAAAGUUAAAAACCAUUAUGCCAUUUUGCCAGCGAAACUCGGCACUUUUUUUUCGGAAGUGUACUGAAGAAUUGCAACUUAUUCAAACCUAAAUUACCAUUGCUGUAAUACUCAAUGGUGUAGUAGGAAAAGCCUUUGCCUUGUGAGCGGGAGAACAUGAUUCGAAUCUUACACAGAUUCAACUGUAGUCAAAGACUGGUUCGUGUGGGGCUCGAACCAUGGUCUCCCGAACACCGGGUAAAGUUAUAAACCAUUCUGCCACUCUGCGGGGAAAUCCCGCUGGUUUUUCUUUCGUAGUGUAUUGUACAUAGAGGACGUUGUCACGGAAAAAUUGACAUGUUCAUUUUACGCUGGGUUACAUACAAGUGAAUGGAGGCACUGCCAUCUUGCGGUAGCUUGGCGUCAUUACAUAAACCGCUUCAGAAACUAGAGUCAAAAGCCUGUGUUUAAUAUUGUACGACGUACGUAUUCAUUUAAUUCUGCUUAUGUGAUGAUAUUUUAAAUGUACAAUUAAAUACUCAUAUGUUUAAGUUCUAAUAACCAUAUUGUAACUUAAUUAAAAUGAUAUUGUCAUUAAAGAGAGAGCAAUGAUGAAAUGGAAA